rnacentral:lncRNA from 1 species
UGACUUUGUAUUGAACAAAUUGAUAAUUUUUGUUUGCGUGAUUAGGCAUUUACUUUCCGCUUACCUAAGUGGGUAGUAAUUAUACAAAGUAAUGGUUAUUACAAUGAAAACAUUGCAAAUACCGAAGAUAAACAGUAUUUUUCACCAUCAAGGACCAUCAUUAAGUUGCGAUAAAGUGCACGCUAUGAUCUGUUAACAAUGGGGACACCCUGUGGGUGUUAUCUCGGACAUCUGAAGAGUAACUCGUUACAACAGAGACGACUAUAGCCAGAGGUUACCUUUACAUCGUAGUGACUGAAUUUUGCAAACCUGGUCAAGCAAAUACUUUCGUUUGCUGAAGAAGAAGAAAAAAUUAUUUGGACAGGCAACAGUAAAUGAUAUAACAAGACUCAGUACUUUUGGACUGGAAGCAGAAGUGUUUUAUAAAACAAGAGG